rnacentral:rRNA from 1 species
GACGAACGCUGGCGGCGCGCCUAAUACAUGCAAGUUGAGCGCUGAAGGUUGGUACUUGUACCAACUGGAUGAGCAGCGAACGGGUGAGUAACGCGUGGGGAAUCUGCCUUUGAGCGGGGGACAACAUUUGGAAACGAAUGCUAAUACCGCAUAAAAACUUUAAACACAAGUUUUAAGUUUGAAAGAUGCAAUUGCAUCACUCAAAGAUGAUCCCGCGUUGUAUUAGCUAGUUGGUGAGGUAAAGGCUCACCAAGGCGAUGAUACAUAGCCGACCUGAGAGGGUGAUCGGCCACAUUGGGACUGAGACACGGCCCAAACUCCUACGGGAGGCAGCAGUAGGGAAUCUUCGGCAAUGGACGAAAGUCUGACCGAGCAACGCCGCGUGAGUGAAGAAGGUUUUCGGAUCGUAAAACUCUGUUGGUAGAGAAGAACGUUGGUGAGAGUGGAAAGCUCAUCAAGUGACGGUAACUACCCAGAAAGGGACGGCUAACUACGU